CCCAGAGGUAUUGAUUGGUGAGAAUUUCUUAGUACGAUUUCUGUACUUCUCUCUUGCACCGACCUGCGCAGAUGCGCAGGUUUUUUUU
rnacentral:sRNA from 1 species